GUGGUGGAAUGGGUGGUGGAAACCGCGGAUAUGGAUACCAGGGUGGUGGCUCGAAUCCAUCUGGACAGCAAGGACCAGUUUACGAUGAUAAUGGAGGACAAGGUGGAGGUGGAUUGUAUCCUUCUCAAGAGGUCAAAGAUCGUGGUGG
rnacentral:sRNA from 1 species